UCUAUCCAGCGUGCCUGGUGCCUCGGCUCCAUCCCCAACCCCUGUUCCUCCCCUACCGGCGACCGCCUGCUCCUCAUCCCCGACCCUGUUCCCCCGUCCGCCACCUCAACCACCGACUGCUCCCCGAUCUCCCCCGUCCGCCUCCAUUUUGAUCUCCUCGGCGCUCCUACCCUUGCGCCUUCCCUCCCUCCGCCUGCUCCAUCUCGAUCUAGCUGUCCUGGCCGGCUGCCUCCUCCCCGUGCCGCCCCUGCCCGACCAACGCCGCUGCCUGAGCAUCGUCCCAUCCCAGCCCCCUCCUCCCCGUGACCGUCCACCGCCCCGGGUAGAACGCCGCUGCUCCCCUUGCCGGUGGCUGUGCGUGUUGCUGCGGCGGCGACACGUUGAAGGGCCAGCGGACGUGAUGAUUAUCAUCGCUGCUUAUCGCCAAUUGCAUCUUUCAUUGCUCAGAUGGUCACUUGGAGGAACAGAUGGAGCAACCUAGAGAUGCUGUCAAGAGGCUGGAGGCAUACAUACAGGACAGCCUGAAGGAAUAUAAGAUUCUUGUUUAUUGUAGUCUGACAACAAACUAAGCUAGUGUGUCAAGUACUACGACGUUGGUUCAAAAAAUGCUUGUGCUCAGUGUAACAUAUGUAAUGAGAUCAUUUCUGAAUCCCCAGUUUCAGUCAUAGAUCAAAAAUCUGUUUUCAGACUUCCAUUUGGUAUAAAAGUGUAGCAUAUGCCAUCGCUAUCCAA